rnacentral:rRNA from 1 species
GACGAACGCUGGCGGCGUGCUUAACACAUGCAAGUCGAGCGAUGAAGCACCUUCGGGUGUGAAUUAGCGGCGAACGGGUGAGGAACACGUGAGAAAUCUGCCUUCAACACUGGGAUAACUCCGGGAAACCGGGGCUAAUACCGGAUAUGAAAUCUGCGGGCAUCCGCGGAUUUGGAAAGUUUUUCGGUUGAAGAUGAUCUCGCGGCCUAUCAGCUUGUUGGUGAGGUAAUGGCUCACCAAGGCGACGACGGGUAGCCGGCCUGAGAGGGCGACCGGCCACACUGGGACUGAGACACGGCCCAGACUCCUACGGGAGGCAGCAGUGGGGAAUAUUGGGCAAUGGAGGAAACUCUGACCCAGCGACGCCGCGUGCGGGAUGAAGGCCUCGGUUGUAAACCGCUUUCAGCAGGAAGAAGCGAAAGUAGACGGUACCUGCAGAAGAAGCACCGGCUAACUAUGUG